GUACCUCUUUGCUUUUCUGACAGGGAUUUAAGGAGAAAUCCUCUGGACUACACUGACACUCAGUGUGAACAUCCACCUCUUUUUUCUUUUUUUUCUUUCUGUUCUCUCCUGUGUAACCGUUCUCUGUUACAUGUUCCACUGCCCAUCUCUAAUGUAUUGAUCUCAUGGGAAAGAUGCCACCUGAGAAAAUACUCUGAUUAAUUUCUGCUCCUUGCUGAACUGUAUUUUAUCCAGGGAGCUGAAAUUUCACCUUUUAGCAGAAAAGCACUCUGUGAACUAGAGGUUUAACUAACUCAGGCAGUGAUGGGUCUAUACUGCAUCUCCUGGGAGGUAAUUUCACAAACCACAAGACUUCACACAGGAAAAAAAGCAUAAAAUGCUCCCUCCAAGGCAACCUUUCACCCUAGCAUAUCGUCACAGCCUUACAGAAUUCCCAAGAAGCUGAACUCAUACCUUACUUAAGCAGGUGAAAAUCUGAUGGCAGAGGAGGUGCAAUCAGCUCCACAACAUUUAUACCAUUUUAGUUCUGAGAUGCACUCCUCUAAUUGAUAUGCACUGAAGAUAAUGUAUGGGUUACAGCGAGGAAAGGACAAUCCUGCUUAGACUUUUUGUUCAGUUUUGGAAAGGAUGUUUUUAAAACCGGAAGAGAAAAACAGAACAAGCCUUAACAUUUGUAGUUGUAAACUGAAACACUCAACAAACAGGCAAGAAUGUUUAGUCCACAAGAAAGAAGAGAUUAAGAAGGAUCCUUUCCUGAAGGGGUGGAUCUUUGAUUCUUGCUUCCUAACCAGGAAUACUACAGAGAUACUUACAGAUACGAGGAUAUUAAUGAGGUGGAAAAUGAUGUGAGGAAAAAUGAGAGGAAUCUGAAAGGCAGCCAUAUAACACUGCCUAUAUAUGUCCCCCAUAAGUACUGAACAUCUGCAGGAGACACAUAUGUAAACGGCUUAGAGCCCUGGAAUAGUUCGCAAGUUCUCCGUCUCAGUGCAGUGUAUAGAAUGGAUAAAUAAAUAGUGGGCAUAUGUGGUAUAUAUUCAGAUGGUGCAUUAGACUUUAAAAUCUCUGUCUAACUGAAUGCAUUAGCCUGUAUUUUCUGUUUAUGUCUCUGGGAUGCCAUGGAAACACAGCACUGAAUCCUAAUGGGUCUCUCCUGGCAAUAAAUAAACAGUCUUUGUCUAUUUAUGUUUCAA